rnacentral:rRNA from 1 species
GAGCAAUUCAAGUAAGGUACAGCCUGCUUGAAACAGGAUACAACCUAAAAAUGUGGGUAAUUAAAUCUUUCUGCCAUAAAGUGGGCCUAAAAGCAGCCACCUUUUGAAUAGCGUCACAGCUUAAUCACAUACAGAUUUAAUAACAAAAAUUUUACCGAACCCCACCCUACUACCAAGCAAUUCUAUAUUUUUAUAGAACUUUUUAUGUUAAAACUAGUAACAAGAAGAACCCCUUCUCUUUAAUGCAAGCAUAAAUCAGCCAGGACCAACCACUGAUAAUUAACACCUAUGAACUAAUAGUAACAACACUUCAAGAAAACCUUACUUCAUCUUAUGUUAACCUAACACAAGAGCAUUAUAAGAAAGAUUAAAAGAAAAAGAAGGAACUCGGCAAACAUUAACCCCGCCUGUUUACCAAAAACAUCGCCUCUUGAUUCUAAUAAGAGGUCCAGCCUGCCCAGUGACUUUGUUCAACGGCCGCGGUAUCCUAACCGUGCGAAGGUAGCGUAAUCACUUGUUCUUUAAAUGAGGACUAGUAUGAAUGGCACCACGAAGGUUAUACUGUCUCCUUUAUCUAAUCAGUGAAACUAAUCUUCCCGUGAAGAAGCGGGAAUAAACAUAUAAGACGAGAAGACCCUAUGGAGCUUUAAACAAGUAUACAACUGCCUUUCCUAUUUUAAAAUUUCAGAAAACAAACCAUUAUUUAGGCAUUUUGGUAUAAAGUUUUAGGUUGGGGUGACCACGGAGAAAAAUGUAACCUCCGCAAUGAACGGGGCUUCCCCCCUUAACUAAGAGCUACGACCCUAAGAAUCAAUAAAUUGACAUCAAUUGACCCAAUAAAUUUGAUCAAUGAACCAAGUUACCCUAGGGAUAACAGCGCAAUCCACUUCAAGAGCCCCUAUCGACAAGUGGGUUUACGACCUCGAUGUUGGAUCAGGGUAUCCUAGUGGUGCAGCCGCUACUAACGGUUCGUUUGUUCAACGAUUAAAACCCUACGUGAUCUGAGUUCAGACCGG